rnacentral:rRNA from 1 species
CACGUAGGGUGCUAGCGUUGCUCGGAAUCACUGGGCGUAAAGGGUGCGUAGGCGGGUCUUUAAGUCAGAGGUGAAAUCCUGGAGCUCAACUCCAGAACUGCCUUUGAUACUGAAGAUCUUGAGUUCGGGAGAGGUGAGUGGAACUGCGAGUGUAGAGGUGAAAUUCGUAGAUAUUCGCAAGAACACCAGUGGCGAAGGCGGCUCACUGGCCCGAUACUGACGCUGAGGCACGAAAGCAUGGGGAGCAAAAGGG